rnacentral:rRNA from 1 species
AUACGGAGGGUGCAAGCGUUACUCGGAAUCACUGGGCGUAAAGCGCGCGCAGGCGGCUAUUUAAGUUGGAUGUGAAAGCCUACGGCUCAACCGUAGAACUGCAUCCAAAACUAUUUAGCUAGAGUGUGGGAGAGGAAGAUGGAAUUAGUUGUGUAGGGGUAAAAUCCAUAGAGAUAACUAGGAAUACCAAAAGCGAAGGCAAUCUUCUGGAACACUACUGACGCUGAGGCGCGAAAGCGUGGGGAGCAAACAGGAUUAGAAACCCUAGUAGUCC